rnacentral:rRNA from 1 species
UACAGAGGGUGCAAGCGUUGUUCGGAAUUAUUGGGCGUAAAGGGCGCGUAGGCGGUGCCACAAGUCACCUGUGAAAUCUCCGGGCUUAACUCGGAGCCUGCAGGCGAAACUGUGGUGCUGGAGUGUGGGAGAGGUGCGUGGAAUUCCCGGUGUAGCGGUGAAAUGCGCAGAUAUCAGGAAGAACACCCGUGGCGAAGGCGGCUCUCUGGGACGGUACUGACGCUGAGACGCGAAAGCGUGGGGAGCGAACAGG